CCUACGGGAGGCAGCAGUGGGGAAUAUUGGGCAAUGGGCGCAAGCCUGACCCAGCAACGCCGCGUGAAGGAAGAAGGCUUUCGGGUUGUAAACUUCUUUUCUCAGGGACGAAGCAAGUGACGGUCCCUGAGGAAUAAGCCACGGCUAACUACGUGCCAGCAGCCGCGGUAAUACGUAGGUGGCAAGCGUUAUCCGGAUUUACUGGGUGUAAAGGGCGUGUAGGCGGGACUGUAAGUCAGUUGUGAAAACCUCGGGCUCAACCGUUGGCCUGCAUUUGAAACUGUAGUUCUUGAGUACUGGAGAGGCAGACGGAAGUCCUAGUGUAGCGGUGAAAUGCGUAGAGAUUAGGAGGAACACCAGUGGCGAAGGCGGUCUGCUGGACAGCAACUGACGCUGAGGCGCGAAAGCGUGGGGAGCAAACAGGAGUAGAUACCCCAGUAGUC
rnacentral:rRNA from 1 species